rnacentral:rRNA from 1 species
ACGAAGGCAGCAGUGGGGAAUAUUGCACAAUGGGGGAAACCCUGAUGCAGCAACGCCGCGUGAGUGAAGAAGUAUUUCGGUAUGUAAAGCUCUAUCAGCAGGGAAGAAAAUGACGGUACCUGACUAAGAAGCCCCGGCUAACUACGUGCCAGCAGCCGCGGUAAUACGUAGGGGGCAAGCGUUAUCCGGAUUUACUGGGUGUAAAGGGAGCGUAGACGGCGAAGCAAGUCUGAAGUGAAAGCCCACGGCUCAACCGUGGAACUGCUUUGGAAACUGUUUUGCUAGAGUGCAGGAGGGGCAGGCGGAAUUCCUAGUGUAGCGGUGAAAUGCGUAGAUAUUAGGAGGAACACCGGUGGCGAAGGCGGCCUGCUGGACUGUAACUGACGUUGAGGCUCGAAAGCGUGGGGAGCAAACAGGAUUAGAUACCCUGGUA